rnacentral:rRNA from 1 species
CCUACAGGUGGCAGCAGUGGGGGAUAUUGCACAAUGGGGGAAACCCUGAUGCAGCGACGCCGCGUGGGUGAAGAAGCGCCUCGGCGCGUAAAGCCCUUUCAGCAGGGAAGAAAAUGACGGUACCUGAAGAAGAAGCCCCGGCUAAAUACGUGCCAGCAGCCGCGGUAAUACGUAGGGGGCAAGCGUUAUCCGGAUUUACUGGGUGUAAAUGGGGCGCAGUCGGCGAUGCAAACCAGGAGUGAAAGCCCGGGGCCCAACCCCGGGACUGCUCUUGAAACUGCGUGGCUAGAGUGCAGGAGGGGCAGGCGGAAUUCCUGGUGUAGCGGUGAAAUGCGUAGAUAUCAGGAGGAACACCGGUGGCGAAGGCGGCAUGCUGGACUGCAACUGACGUUGAGGCACGAAAGCGUGGGGAGCAAACAGGAUUAGAUACCCUGGUAGUC